AACGAACGCUGGCGGCGUGCCUAACACAUGCAAGUCGAGCGCGAAAAGGGCAAUCUGAGUAGAGCGGCGCACGGGUGCGUAACACGUGGGUAAUCUGCCUUAGAGUCGAGGAUAACCUUCCGAAAGGUUGGCUAAUACUCGGUAAGCUUACGGUGUCUUCGGACGCUGUGGGAAAAGUAGGCCUCUGUUUACAAGCUUACGCUCUGAGGUGAGCCCACGGCGCAUCAGCUAGUUGGCGGUGUAACGGACCACCAAGGCAACGACGGGUAGCUGGUCGGAGAGGACGAUCAGCCACACUGGAACUGAGACACGGUCCAGACUCCUACGGGAGGCAGCAGUGGGGAAUUUUCCACGAUGGGCGAAAGCCUGAUGGAGCAACGCCGCGUGUGUGAUGAAGGUUUUCGGAUCGUAAAGCACUUUCGACCGGGACGAAAAACCUCUGGCUAACAUCCAGGGGCCUGACGGUACCGGGAGAAGAAGCACCGGCUAACUCUGUGCCAGCCGCCGCCGUAA
rnacentral:rRNA from 1 species